GCCCAGGACGAGGUGGGAGCAGGGGGAAGAGGCAGGAAUAGUGGGAGGGCAGCGAGAAGCCGCCCACGUGUGCCAGCGGCACCUGCACAGAAAGCGCCACUGGACCCGCGAAGCACACGAAGCAGAGGCUUUUCCUGUGCAGACUCAGCCGCUCGGAACUUGGCAUCCAGCUUCAGAGACGGUGGCUUGAAGCACCACGGAGACUGAGAGAAGAAAAUGCACCGAGGAGAAGCAAAUACCCCUUGGCAUUGCCGACACUGAUGGCUGAGAACCAGAACAGAUGGGGAAGCAAAGCCUCAACCCACCCCACAUCCUGCUGAGUGGAGCCGAGAUGGGGCCGGGGACAGGUGUGAGAUGGGAGCCAGCCUCACUGUCACCUGCGGAGGGAGGCUGUGUGCCUCAAAGCCACCUGCUGAAGAGAACAUGCCUCCUCUACUCCAUGGUCUCGGCACCCCUGUCAAAACUCAAUUGACGGGGAGCUCCCUGGAGGCUCAGCCGAUUAAGGAUCCAGUGUUGUCCCUGCUGUGGCUCAGGUUUGAUCCUGGUCCUGGAAUUUCUGCAUGCCUCGGGUAAGGCCAAAAAAAAAAAAAAAAAAAAAAAAAAAAAAAAAAAAAUCAAUUCACGAUAACGGUAAGAGUUUAUUUCUGAAAUAUCAGUACGAUUCCAUUAGUCUCCCUAUUUUUAUGCCAACGCUACACUGUCUUGACUUCUGUAGCUUUGUACGAAUGUUUGAAAUUUUGAAGAGUGAGUCCUCCCACCUGGUUAUUGGUUUAUGAGGUUGUUUUGGCGGAUCUGGGGCCCCUGGCAAUUCAGGAUCAGACUUCCCAUUUCUGGAGGGAAGAAGAGCAGAGGGAAUACUGGCGGGGACAGCCACGAAGCUCUCCAUCAGUUUGGGGAGCGCUUCCUUCUUCAGGACAGUAACGCCUCCGACCCGUGAACGGGAGGUUUCGUUCUGCUUACUCACAUCGUCUUUAAUUCCUUCCAACAACAUUCCGCAUUUCUCAGUGUGUAACUCUUGCACUUCCCUGCUUAAAUUUAUUCCUAAGUAUUUUUUCCUUUUCUUUUUUUUUUUUGUUUUGGAGGGGGUUCUCCCUGCUGCUUAGGGACGUUCCUGGGCCAGGGCCAGGGAUCAGAUCGGAGCUGCAGCUGCAGCAAUGCCGGAUCCUUUAACCCACGGUGCCAGGCCAGGGAUCGAACCCGCACCUGGCGCUGCAGAGACGCUGCCGUUCCCAUUGCACCAUAGCGGGAACUCCUAAGUAUUGUUUUAAAUUAUUUAUUUGUUUUUGGCCGCACCCAAGCAUGGAGAGGUCCCUGGGCCAGGGAUCACACCCACGCCACAGCGGUGCCAACUCCAGAUCCUUAACCGCUAGGACACCAGGGUUGUACCAUUGUACCCUUUUUGUGCUAUCGUGAAUGGAAUUGUCUCCUUAACUUCAUUUUCAGAUCGUUAUUGCUGGUGUAUAGAAAUACGACUAACUUUCUGCAGAUUGAUCUUCUACCUGUGGUCUCUCCGAACUCACUCAUUCGCGCCGGCGUUUUUUGUACACAUUUCUUCUGACUUUGCGAACAAGAUCGUGGCCUCUGCAGGUCACCUUGGCUGCCUUCGCUUUCCCUUUCUUGGCUACGUUCCCGGCGAGACCCUCUAACACAGCGCGCUGAAUAGAAGCACAGCGGCAGGCAUGCUUGUCCGCCUCCUCCUUUGGGGGGACCGAGCCGUGGUCUUCUUUUCUGGCCAUGACUUCGUCUGGUUCGGCUCGCAGGGUAGAAAGAACUGCGAAGCAUUCCUUCAUCUCGUGUUUUUGGAGGGUGGGGAGAAGGGUGGGUGCUAAUUCUCCUUUUGAUAUUUUCUGGCCGCCAGCAGUGAAGCCGUAGGAUCCCGGGCUUUGCUUCACCGUGAGUUGUAAUUAUUUAUUAUUAAUUCAAUCUCUUUGUUACAGGGUCUAUUCAGAUUCUCCAUUUCUUCACGAGUCACUACUGGCAGCCGCUGUCUUUUUAGAAAUGUGUCCAUUUCGCAUAAAUCACCCAAUUUGUUGGCACACUGUGGUUCAUAGGAUUUUUUCAAAAUUCUUUUAUUUUUCUGUAAUGUCAUCACUAAUGUCUCCUAUUUCAUCCCUGAUUUUAGUAAUUUGAUCUUCUCCUUCUCAUUCUAGUUGAUCAAUUUUCUUGAUCUUUCCAAAGGACCAAUUUUCUUUUUCAUGGAUUUGUCUCAGUUUUCAAAAUGCUCUAUUUCGUGCACUUCUGCUCUAAUAUUAUCGUCGCCUUCUGCUUGAUUUGGGUUUACUUGCUCUCUUUUUUCUAGUUUCUUUGGUGUCAAGUUAGGUUACAGACUUGCCAUAUUAUUCGUUUCCUUCUGAACACUUCUGUACUUCCGAAGUUUCCACACGUUGUGUUUUCAUUGGUCUCAAAAUACUUUCUAAGUUAUACUGUGAGUUCUUUUGUGAUCCAUUAAUUAUAAGGAGCGUACCAUUUCAAUAUUUUUUUCAACUUCCUAAAUUUCUUCCUGUUACUGAUUUUUAAUUUCUCUUGCCACGGUGGCAAGAGAACGUUUUUGCAUAUGAUUUCAAGCACUUUUUUUUUUUUUUUUUUGGUCUUUUUGCCUUUUCUUGAGCCACUCCCGCGGCAUAUGGAGGUUCCCAGGCUAGGGGUCUAACCAGAGCUGUAGCCGCCGGCCUACGCCAGAGCCACAGCAACGUGGGAUCCGAGCCGCGUCUGCAACCUACACCAUAGCUCACGGCAACGCCAGAUCCUUCACCCACUGAGCAAGGCCAGGGAUCGAACCCGCAACCUCCUGGUUCCUAGUCGGAUUUGUUAACCACUGAGGCACGACGGGAACUCCUCAAGCACUUUUUAAGUUUAUCGCGACAGUUAACCACCCGGUCUACUCUGCAGGACUCCCGUGUGCACUGGGGACGCUGCCGUGGGUGGCGUGUCCCAGAGACGCCUGCAGGGUCCCGUGGGUCACGCGAGUUGCUCAAGUCUCCUACCUCCUCCUGACCUGCCGUCUCGCUGCUUCGUCCAUGUGGAAAUCAGGCUACUGACAGCUGAAAGUCUCCAGUUAUUACGGUUGGAUGGUCCAUCUCACCUUUCCCCUGUGCUUUUGCCUCCCAAACGCCGGGACUCUGGGGUCAGGUUCAGGUGUGUUUGUAACGGUCACGUCCUCCGCAAGGUUUACGCUUCCACCGUCGCAAAGUGCCCCUCUGUCUCUGGCCUAACACUUGCCCUGAAGUCUACUUUGCCUCCCGUCGCUGGAGACACCCCCUCUGUUGUUGGCCGGCCCUUCCGCCUCAACCUACUUGCGUCUUUGAACGCAGUGUCUGUCUUUAGCCAACAGCACGUAGUAAGAUCAUGUUUUACUUCGUCUCGUCUGCCAUUCACUGCCUUUUCUUUUUUUUUCCUUUCGAGGGCUGCACCUGCAGCCUGUGGACAUUCUCGGGCUAGUUCUCAGCAUAUGGAAUUGCAGACGCAGCUGAGUGAGGCCAGGGAUUGAACCUGCCUCCUCAUGGAUACUCAUUGGGUUUGUAACCUGCUGAGCCGUACGGGAACUCCUGGGCUGUUCAUUUUCAAGGUCACCGCAGAACUGGAGAGUGGUGGGUGGGCCCAGGGCGCCUCAAGCCCCUCAGAGCGUGGAGGGGCGGAGAGAGUGGCACACUUGCCCAAUGAUAACGGGAAGAUAAGAUGGUGCAGCAGCCACAGAGCACAGUUCCUCAAAGUGCUGAAAAUAGUUGAUCUACCACGCGACCCAGUAAUUCUACCUCUGGGUCUGAACCCCAAGGAAUGGCAAGCAGGGCCCUGAAGGGCUCUCGAUGCCCCGUGUUCACGGCUGCCCUGUUCACAGCCGCUAAGACGGGAAAGCGACCCGCACAUCCACGGCCAGGGGGACGAACAAGCAGACUCCAUGGAGGGCGAUUCGGCCUUAAAACAGAAGGGAGUCUGAGGCUGCGAACGGGGACCCCGGGGACACGGUGGCAGUGAAGAAGCCAGUCGCAAAGACAGACACCGCGUGAUCCCGCUCAUACCCGCUUCUAGAGUCGCCAAAGUGACAGAGACAAACGUGCAGCGGGGUUUCCAGGGCUGAGUGGAGGGGACAGCGAGUUCCUGGCGCAAAGCUUCAGAGUUUCAGCUUCAGGAGCUCAGACGAGUUCUGCGGACGGAGGCAGUGACGGCUGCACAACAGUGGGGCGUACUUCAUGCCACUGGGCUGUCACUUGGCUGGUGACGACGGUAAAAACAAGACCUCACAGCUGUUCCUACCGAGAUUCGGCUAAUUCUCUUGACUGAAGAACAAAACACACAAACCAGCUCUCCAAAGACUGCCACAAGCGUGGGGUUAAUUUCCAGAGUACUGGAAAAGUCCGUUCCGACAAUUUUUGCCUGUUUUCUCAUGUUUUCAGAGGUCCUUGCUCCGCUGUUUUUGCUGAGGUCCUGGCAGGCCCCCUGGGCGGAGGAUGCGUGGCAGAUUCCGCACAGACAGGCCUGUGUUUCCCUCGGCCCAGCGGAGGGAAGAUCCGCGUGCGUGGCCGGACGGAGGCCCGGCUCCUCCCAGACCUGCGGUUGGCAGCUGGUGGCCUCCUCGGUAAAGCCGGGCUGCAGGCCUGGCCAGGGGUCACUCAGGGCCCCCGGUCCUUGGGCCCACUCGCGCCAGGCUCCAACGCAGGGGUGACCCUCGUGGAGGGUCAGCCGGGCAUCUCUGCAGGAGCGAUGGGAACCGAUGGGAACCGGGUGCUGGGGGUGGGGGUUCAGCGUGCCAGCACCCCCUCCAGUGCUUUCCUGGACCACAGAGGCCACAAUCGCUGGAUCAUGAGCUCCGUGACCUGAUUCAGGCCCACAACCCGAAGUGCUCAAAGAGGAGCUCCCGCUGUGGCAUAACAGGAUGGCACAGCAUCUUGGGAGUGCUGGGACGCAGGGCCGAUGCCCAG